ACUGCGCUGACGAGUCCCAAAAGGGCGAAACAGCUGUCCGUAGU
rnacentral:hammerhead_ribozyme from 1 species